rnacentral:tRNA from 1 species
GGUUCCAGAGUGCAGCAGUUAGCCUGUCUGCUUUACACCCAGAAGGUCCUGGGUUCGUGACCCAGUGGAGCCA